rnacentral:lncRNA from 1 species
AGAGAGAGAGAGAGAGAGAGAGAGAGACAGAGUCAAAAGCGGCGUUGAGAGACCGAGCCAAAAAGCGCGCCGCGGCCGCGCCGACGGCCAUCCUCUUUUUUUUUCCUCUCUUGUAGCGCGCCGGGCUGGUCUCGCUCUUGGCCCUGCCGAUGAAAAUCGACUACGGAAUCAUCCCGUGGAUGCCUUGCGCAUCACGCAGUUCCGCAGCGACUAAUGCUGUGCCGAUGACUCGCCACCCGUCGGCCGGCCGGGCCGCGGCCAAGUCAACCCCCAACACGAAUCGGACCCGCCAACACUGUUUUAUGGAGUGCCGAUAAAUCGUGCACAACACCUGCAGCCAGCCGCAUUCAGGUUUGGGUUUGCGCUUCUUCUAAACACAGUUUGUACGCAAAUUAGUGGCGACUCGGGCAACAGCGCUAGAGGGUUCGAUUCGUGUUGGAGGCCGGCUUGGCCGCGGUCGUCCCGUUCGCGGUCGCGCCGACUGCAGGCCGACUAGUCAUCAACCAGCAGCGGCCGCGCCAAUAUUCCAUUUUUUCCGAUUUUUGCGGCAAUAAAAAUCAAGGCGUGUGGUUGUAAAAU